rnacentral:rRNA from 1 species
UGGGGAAUAUUGGACAAUGGGGGAAACCCUGAUCCAACAAUGCCGCGUGAGUGAAGAAGGCCUUAGGGUUGUAAAGCUCUUUCGCCCGCGAAGAUAAUGACGGUAGCGGGAGAAGAAGCCCCGGCUAACUCCGUGCCAGCAGCCGCGGUAAUACGGAGGGGGCUAGCGUUGUUCGGAAUUACUGGGCGUAAAGCGUGCGUAGGCGGUCUGUUAAGUCUGCUGUGAAAUCCCCGGGCUCAACCUGGGAAUGGCAGUGGAAACUGGCGGGCUAGAGUACGGUAGAGGAUGGUGGAAUUCCCGGUGUAGCGGUGAAAUGCGUAGAGAUCGGGAGGAACACCAGUGGCGAAGGCGGCCAUCUGGACCAGUACUGACGCUGAGGCACGAAAGCGUGGGGAGCAAACA